rnacentral:tRNA from 1 species
GCCGACGUGGUGGAAUUGGAGACACGCUAUCUUGAGGGGUAGUGGCGCGAGCUGUGCGAGUUCGAGUCUCGCCGUCGGCACCA